rnacentral:rRNA from 1 species
AUACGUAGGUGACAAGCGUUAUCCGGAUUUACUGGGCGUAAAGGGCGUGUAGGCGGUCUUGCAAGUCAGAAGUGAAAUUCCUGAGCUCAACUCGGGCGCUGCUUCUGAAACUGCAGGACUUGAGUGCUGGAGGGGAUAGCGGAAUUCCUAGUGGAGCGGUAAAAUGCGCAGAUAUUAGGAAGAACACCGGUGGCGAAGGCGGUCAACUGGACAGUAGCUGACGGAGAGGGGCGAAAGAAUGGGGAGCAAAGGGGAUUAGAUACCCUGGUGGUCCUCGCCGUAAACGAUGCAUACUAGGUGUAGGGGGUAUCGACUCCCUCUGUGCCGCAGUUAACACAAUAAGUAUUCCGCCUGGGGAGUACGGCCGCAAGGUUGAAACUUAAAGGAAUUGACGGGG